rnacentral:pre_miRNA from 1 species
UUACUACUCCCUCCGUCCAAAAUUCUUGUCUUGCAUUUCUGUAGAUAUGAAUGUAUCUAGUCACAUUUUAGUAUUUAGAUACAUUCAUUUGUAGACAAAUCUAAGACAAGAAUUUUGGAACGAAGGAAGUAUUUA